rnacentral:rRNA from 1 species
UACGUAGGGGGCAAGCGUUGUCCGGAAUCAUUGGGCGUAAAGCGCGUGUAGGCGGCCCGAUAAGUCCGCUGUGAAAGUCCAGGGCUCAACCCUGGGAUGCCGGUGGAUACUGUCGGGCUCGAGUCCGGAAGAGGCGAGUGGAAUUCCUGGUGUAGCGGUGAAAUGCGUAGAGAUCGGAAAGAACACCAACGGCGAAAGCACUCUGCUGGGCCGACACUGACACUGAGAGACGAAAGCUAGGGGAGCGAAUGGG